UUAACAGCUGUCAUGUUACACUAUAAAUAUAAAUAGUGUUGUAUAUUACUUUAAAAAAAAAACAACCUCCCUCUUUGGCCAAAGCAACCCACAAGACUGAGGUUAUUGAAUCGUUCAGCUUAUCGGAAUAGGCAGGAUUUCUAUUAAAACGCAGCGUUACGUUUUAGCAUAAUAUCAAAGACAUAACAACCGUCCGCACUACCUAAGCCUACAUGCUUUCAUGUAAUUUCUGCUUUCUCUUUUAACAAAACGGCUGCGCUUGCAGGGUGAAUAUCUCGUCCUCCGAUUUACCAAGGGACCAACAAUCACACAGAAUACAAUCCUGGGACCAACAUGCACACAGCAUGGCUUGCUGCUCAGAGAUGUGGAUAUAGGUCCAAUUGAGGAAUUGCUUCAUUCAAUGCUGGCAAGUUGUCCAUGUCCUGAGCACUCAGCAUCAUCAAACCAUGAUAUCCCCAUCUCUUUGCUUGAAAGCUGCUACAAAAGCUGCUUGGUGGAAUGACAUCAUCCAUGUAACCUGAAAAGUUCCACAUUUGGCUCCUCCAUAAAAUAUUCCUCCAGAAGUUCAGAAGGUCAUUCAGUUUAUUAUUAAAGUCUUAGACCAGAGACCAGAACAAAUAAAAACGUUCAGUAAAUAUACAAUAAAAAUUCUAGUAUAAAAUAAUAAAUAACAAAAUCUAUAAUAAAAUCUAGUCUGUCAAUUAUACAUGGUCUAGCUAUACUAAAAUUACAGUCCAUAAACUGUGGCCCAUUGUAGGUUCAACGCUAAAAGCAGUGCGAAAGAUUUGCCACAUUUGUUAUAUAAUAUAACUAUGGUGGAGAAGACGUGUUUGAGAUGAAUCCCCAGUGCUGCGGUGCAGAAUCUGGCCACCUGUGCUGUAAUUAUGGACUUUUCAUCCUUAAGCAGCCACUGAAGAUAGGUAGUAUCAGAGUGGCCAGGAUACUUGGCAGAAUAUGUUUUUUCCUAAUCUCUGUGUAAAAGGAACAUCUAAGGAGCACGACCCACAAUGUCCACCUCUCCUUAG